GGGCGGGUGGCGGAAUCGGUAGACGCUACGGACUUAAAAUCCGUUGAAGGCAAUACUUCGUGUGGGUUCGAGUCCCACCCCGCCCACCA
rnacentral:tRNA from 1 species